rnacentral:tRNA from 1 species
UCGGGGAUCGUCUAAUGGUAGGACAGCUGGUUUUGGUCCAGCCAAUCGGGGUUCGAAUCCCUGUCCCCGAGCCA